rnacentral:snRNA from 1 species
ACAUGGGCCCUGUGCAAGGAUGACAGGCAAAGUCGUGAAGUGUUCCAUAUUUUU